rnacentral:rRNA from 1 species
GACGAACGCUGGCGGCGUGCCUAAUACAUGCAAGUUGAGCGCUGAAGGUUGGUACUUGUACCGACUGGAUGAGCAGCGAACGGGUGAGUAACGCGUGGGGAAUCUGCCUUUGAGCGGGGGACAACAUUUGGAAACGAAUGCUAAUACCGCAUAAAAACUUUAAACACAAGUUUUAAGUUUGAAAGAUGCAAUUGCAUCACUCAAAGAUGAUCCCGCGUUGUAUUAGCUAGUUGGUGAGGUAAAGGCUCACCAAGGCGAUGAUACAUAGCCGACCUGAGAGGGGGAUCGGCCACGUUGGGCAGGAGAAACGGCCCAAACCCCUACGGGAGGCAGCAGUGGGGAAUCUUCGGCAAUGGACGAAAGUCUGACCGAGCAACGCCGGGUGAGUGAAGAAGGUUUUCGGAUCGUAAAACUCUGUUGGUAGAGAAGAACGUUGGUGAGAGUGGAAAGCGCAUCAAGUGACGGUAACUACCCAGAAAGGGACGGCUAACUACGUG